rnacentral:rRNA from 1 species
CUCGUAGGUGGCUUUGUAAGUCGGAGGUGAAAGACCACGGCUCAACCGUGGAAACGCCUUCGAAACUGUGAAGCUUGAGGCUAGGAGAGGAAAUCGGAAUUCCUGGUGUAGCGGUGAAAUGCGUAGAUAUCAGGAGGAACACCGGUGGCGAAGGCGGAUUUCUGGACCAGUUCUGACACUGAUGAGCGAAAGCCAGGGGAGCAAACA